CAUUAUCGUACAAAAUGUGAGGGGCAUGUGAGGGCUGUCGCCGACUCAAAGUCGUGCACGCCCGAGCGUGUCCUCUCACAUAAUAAUCCAUCUCACCCUUUGUGCAUCGCCGCGUGGGCACCCUUUGGGAUCAUCUCGGAGGGGGCUCGCGUUUUCACACAAACCCCCCUUUUAAAAGUGUAGAAUGACCUCAUUUAUGCGCUAACCCGCAAUCAAUACAACUUUCAACAACGGAUCUCUUGGCUCUCGCAUCGAUGAAGAACGCAGCGAAAUGCGAUACGUAAUGUGAAUUGCAGAAUUCAGUGAAUCAUCGAAUCUUUGAACGCACCUUGCGCCCCUUGGUAUUCCGAGGGGCACACCCGUUUGAGUGUCGUGAAAACCUCAACCUCUUUGGUUUCUUCUGGAGACCAAAGCAGGCUUGGACUUUGGAGGCCUUUGCUGGCACCUCUCUCUUUUGAAGGUCAGCUCCUCUUAAACGAAUUAGCAGGGUCCUCUUUGCCGAUCCUCGACGUGUGAUAAGAUGUUUCCAUGUCUUGGUUUCUGGCUCUGUCACUUUUGGGACCCGCUUCUAACCGUCUUGACCUUGCGUCGAGACAAGUGCUCGAGCAUGUCUCCCUUCUUGGGAAGCUCCCUCGACCCCACGAACCCUUG
rnacentral:rRNA from 1 species